UCCUCCUUAGCUCAGUGGUAGAGCGCGUCACUAGUAGCCGCUUAUGUAAGCACUGCGAAAUGACGAGGUCAGUCGUUCAAGUCGGCUAGGAGGAA
rnacentral:tRNA from 1 species